rnacentral:lncRNA from 1 species
UAACUUGCAUCUCAAAUUGUUCCCGCAAACAUGUGGCAAGCAUAUCAUAAUUCUGGUCAUUUGUUUUGUGAUUGUCCCAUUUCUUCGUUUGCUUCCACUCAACAUAGGUGGUGAUGAAGUUGAAGUCCAUGGUAGAAGUCCACUGCAAUUUCUCGUUCAUCUGCUACAUAUAAGCGCACAAAUUUUGCCAUUAAAAGUUAAAACAUGGCAGGUAAAUGUGACUAAUCCUGCCCCAAAAAUUAGUAAAUUGAAUAGUAGUAGUGUUAAGGGCAAACAUGGUUUACAUGCUGAUUGUAGUUCUCCAUACACAGUUGAUAGUUAUUUGAAGCGAUGGAUG